rnacentral:rRNA from 1 species
CGGUGCUUCUUCUUCGGAAGAUGUAACCCGGCGGACGGCUCAGUAACACGUGGAUAACUUGCCCUUGGGUCCGGGAUAACCCCUGAGAAAUUGGGGACAAUACCGGAUAGGGCAUCGAUUGCUGGAAUGCGCGAUGUCCAAAAGCUGAGGCGCCCAAGGAUAGGUCUGCGGCCGAUUAGGUUGUUGUUGAUGUAAUGGAUCAACAAGCCUGCAAUCGGUACGGGUUGUGAGAGCAAGAACCCCGGAAAUGGGUUUU